rnacentral:lncRNA from 1 species
CAAAGGUCCACUCAGUUUCAAGGGGUGGUAACAUGGACCCCACUUCUCAGUGGAGGAACAUCAAUGUCACAUUAUGAGAAGAACACGUGGGACGGACAUGUAUUGUGCUGCUGUCUUUGGAAAAUACAAUCUGUUGGCUUGUGAUCCAUUUUUCUCAGAUGCCCAGACAGCCCUCACCACUGAUAGGCAGGGGCAUGAUCCCGCCUGCCGAGAGGACCUGACGUUGACACUAAACAGGAAUAAAAAGUGCUCAUCUGCUUCUGUGCCAUCAGACGGAGCCCAGUCAGCGAUGACCAGAAAGUUUCCUGCUUUGAAGUAGGCCUUCCCUGGGCUCAAGGAGGAGCUUAAAGACUGAAGAUGCUGAAUUUACUGUGCAUUAAAAAGAGAGGAUGGAAAAGAAAUCAACGAUACAAUAAGGAGCUCAGCAAACUGGCUCAGCUGACGUGGUCACCCUUGGAGAAUUCAAAGUUGGGGACAUAGCUGUCCUCUGUACAGAAGUGGAGGAGGAAGGGCUGAGUGUCAGGAAGGCCCACGUGAAUGGAGAUGACAAACUCUCAAUUCGACCAGGCUCUCCAAACGACAGGGCAGGUGAGUUUGAAUGGGGUCUCUGAUCUUACGACGUGAGCAAGGGCCAAGGGUGGCAUGUUCCAGCAAACUUCCUUGUUUGGAAGGACACCGAGACAACAAGCUUUUGCCAGGUGGCUCACACGCCAGGUUUUCCUUUAAGCUAUGUUUUUGAGCUCUGCCUGCAGAAGGCACUUCAAUUGCUCCUCAGUCUCAUAACCCCCCUUUCUCUGUUGUGAGCUUUCUCCUCGACAUUGCUGCUCAGGGGAAGAGAGAGAUUAAAGAGGUG